rnacentral:misc_RNA from 1 species
GAUGAAGAACGUAGCGAAAUGCGAAAAGUAAUGUGAAUUGCAGAAUUCAGUGAAUCAUCGAAUCUUUGAACGCACAUUGCGCCCGCUGGUACUCCGGCGGGCACGCCUGUCCGAGCGUCAUUUCAACCCUCAAGCCCUCCUUCGGGAUGGGCCUGGUGUUGGGGCUCGGCCGCCAUCUCCGGCGGCCGUCCCCUAAAUACAGUGGCGGUCACGUCGCGACUCCUUUGCGUAGUAGAAACACCUCGCUCCGGAUAGCAACGCGGUCCACGCCGUAAAAUCCCCAAUUUUCAAUGGUUGACCUCGGAUCAGGUGGGAAUACCCGCUGAACUUAAGCAUAUCAAUAAGCGGAGA